UACAGAGGGUGCGAGCGUUAAUCGGAAUUACUGGGCGUAAAGCGCACGUAGGCGGCUUUGCAAGUCGGGUGUGAAAUCCCCGGGCUCAACCUGGGAACUGCAUCCGAGACUGCUUUGCUCGAGUAUGGGAGAGGGAAGUGGAAUUUCCGGUGUAGCGGUGAAAUGCGUAGAUAUCGGAAGGAACAUCAGUGGCGAAGGCGACUUCCUGGACCAAUACUGACGCUCAGGUGCGAAAGCGUGGGGAGCAAACAGG
rnacentral:rRNA from 1 species